GUCACUGUGUGUGGAGAGCCGCCCGAGCACUUAUUGCUAAUGAAACAAUGAGAAAAUACCCUGGAGCCAUUCAGUUGGCAAGAAAGGUCAUUUUAUCUGUCUCACCACCACUUUGACCAAUUCUAUGGAAAAAAAAUGUAGAGCUUCCAGGACAUCAGCAGUAAAGUGCUACAUGACUACAGAGUAAGAGAGAACCCAAAGCUACCUUUCCUGUUUAAGAAUCAUCUUGGGAUGUGGAUCCUUUUCCUGUUUAAAGGGAUUCAGUUAAUUUCUUAGCUACUAUAUUAGGAAAACCUGACUUGUUAACUUAUAUCAUAUUGGUCAGAAAAUUAUUAUGACUAUUAGAUUUUGGUUUUACAUGGCCCUUCAUAAAGGGGAUUGUUAAAGCUAAGUGAAAUACUAGUCAAUUUCUUUUUAUUUAAAUUGGCAAAGUUUUCCACUGACUUGCAACAUGCUGCAAAUUUUUUCACAUUUGCAAAAAGUGUUGAUUUCCUCACUGCUCCCACCACCUCUAUGGGUGUGCGCCUAUUUCUUCUUUGUGUUACGUUUCUUCACAGGCCAGAAAAGGUUGUGGUAACACUUCUGUGCAAAUUUUGAAUGGCUUU